GAUGAACGCUGGCGGCGUGCCUAAUACAUGCAAGUCGAGCGAACGGACGAGAAGCUUGCUUCUCUGAUGUUAGCGGCGGACGGGUGAGUAACACGUGGAUAACCUACCUAUAAGACUGGGAUAACUUCGGGAAACCGGAGCUAAUACCGGAUAAUAUUUUGAACCCAUUGGUUCAAAGGUAAAUUCCGGUGUUGCGGUCACUUAUAGCUGGAUCCGGGCUGCAUUAGCUAGUUGGUAAGGUAACGGCUUACCAAGGCAACGAUGCAUGGCCGACCGGAGAGGCGGAUCGGCCACCCUGGAACUGAGAGACGGUCCAGACGCCUGCGGGAGGCAGCAGUAGGGAAUCGUACGCAAUGGGCGAAAGCCUGACGGAGCAACGCCGCGUGAGUGAUGAAGGUCUUCGGAUCGUAAAACUCUGUUAUUAGGGAAGAACAUAUGUGUAAGUAACUGUGCACAUCUUGACGGUACCUAAUCAGAAAGCAACGGCUAACUACGUG
rnacentral:rRNA from 1 species